CCCUGGAUAGCUCAGUUGGGAGAGCGUCAGACUGAAGAUCUGAAGGUCUCCGGUUCAAUCCCGGGUCACGGCA
rnacentral:tRNA from 1 species